rnacentral:rRNA from 1 species
CCUACGGGAGGCAGCAGUGGGGAAUAUUGGGCAAUGGACGCAAGCCUGACCCAGCAACGCAGCGUGAAGGAAGAAGGCUUUCGGGUUGUAAACUUCUUUUUAGGGGGAAGAGAAGAGGACGGUAUCCCUUGAAUAAGCCACGUAUAACUACGUGACAGCAGCCGCGGUAAGACGCAGGUUGCAAGCGUAGUCCGGAUUUUUUGGGUGUAAAGGGCGUGAAGUCGGAGCGAAAAGUCAGCUGUGAAAUCUACGGGCUAAACCCGUGAAGUGCAUUUGAAAAUGUUGCCCUUGAGUGCAGGCGGGGUAAUCGGAAUGCGUGGUGUAGCGGUGAAAUGCGUAGAUAUUAGGAAGAACACCGGUGGCGAAGGCGGAUGACUGGAGUGUAACUGACGGUGAGGCGCGAAAGUGUGGGGAUCAAACAGGAUUAGAUACCCGAGUAGUC